CCGUGCUAGAUGGGGAGGUUGCGGUGCCCUGUAACCUGCAAUCCGCAAUAGCAGGAUUGAAUUCCUAUCAGCGGUCAUUUUAUGUGAGGUCUGCCUUAUACCGUUGGUGUUGAGGAUUGGGUCCUAUGCAACGUGAACCUAUGAACCUGGUCAGGUCCGGAAGGAAGCAGCCAUAAGUAGGACCUUGCGUGUGCCGUAGGGUAGCCUGGUCUGAGUCAAUUGUAUAAGUAACGCUCGGAUGGAAUGUAUCAAUGAUAGGUGCACGG
rfam:Brevibacillus laterosporus LMG 15441, complete genome.